UACGUAGGGUGCAAGCGUUGUCCGGAAUUAUUGGGCGUAAAGAGCUCGUAGGCGGUUUGUCGCGUCUGCUGUGAAAACUCGGGGCUUAACUCCGGGCCUGCAGUGGGUACGGGCAGACUAGAGUGCGGUAGGGGAGACUGGAAUUCGUGGUGUAGCGGUGAAAUGCGCAGAUAUCAGGAGGAACACCGGUGGCGAAGGCGGGUCUCUGGGCCGUAACUGACGCUGAGGAGCGAAAGCGUGGGGAGCGAACAGG
rnacentral:rRNA from 1 species